rnacentral:rRNA from 1 species
UACGUAGGGGCCGAGCGUUGUCCGGAGUUAUUGGGCGCAAAGGGCGCGCAGGCGGUACGGCACGUCCGUUGUGAAAUCGCUCGGCUCAACUGGGCGGGGUCAGCGGAUACGGCCGCACUUGAGCAAGCUAGGGGGCAAUGGAAUUCCCGGUGUAGUGGUGGAAUGCGUAGAUAUCGAGAGGAACACCUGCGGCGAAGGCGGGUUGCUGGGCUGAUACUGACGCUGAGGCGCGAAAGCCAGGGGAGCGAACGGG